rnacentral:pre_miRNA from 1 species
GCACCUGCUAACUUGUAAUCCUAACUUAAUACUCCAUUUGGAUCAACUCUCAGUUGAUUACGAUUAAUAUGGAGUAAUAAGUUAGGAUUCUAGUUACCUGGUGC